GACGAACGCUGGCGGCGUGCUUAACACAUGCAAGUCGAACGGAAAGGCCCUGCUUUUGUGGGGUGCUCGAGUGGCGAACGGGUGAGUAACACGUGAGUAACCUGCCCUUGACUUUGGGAUAACUUCAGGAAACUGGGGCUAAUACCGGAUAGGAGCUCCUGCUGCAUGGUGGGGGUUGGAAAGUUUCGGCGGUUGGGGAUGGACUCGCGGCUUAUCAGCUUGUUGGUGGGGUAGUGGCUUACCAAGGCUUUGACGGGUAGCCGGCCUGAGAGGGUGACCGGCCACAUUGGGACUGAGAUACGGCCCAGACUCCUACGGGAGGCAGCAGUGGGGAAUAUUGCACAAUGGGCGGAAGCCUGAUGCAGCAACGCCGCGUGCGGGAUGACGGCCUUCGGGUUGUAAACCGCUUUCGCCUGUUACGAAGCGUGAGUGACGGUAAUGGGUAAAGAAGCACCGGCUAACUACGUG
rnacentral:rRNA from 1 species